rnacentral:rRNA from 1 species
AUGGACAGCGGCGGCGUGCAGCCAUCGCUUCCGUCUGCGGCGGCGGCGGGAGGAACUUCCGUCCCGGACGAGCCUCGUGACGCGCGCGUGGUGCGGGAGCUCCUCCGGUCGAUGGGGCUCGGCGAGGGCGAGUACGAGCCGCGUGUCGCCAUCCAGGCCAAGGUCAACUUCUCCUUCUCCCAGCCGCCGCCCCGCGAGGUUCUACUUGAAUUGGCACGCAGCCGGAACAAGAUCCCGCUGCCCAAGUCUAUCGCUCCACCUGGCUCGAUUCCUCUGCCACCUAAGCAGGACACUUUGUUGAGUGAAAACUACCAGCUCCUACCCGCACUGAAGCCACCAGCUCAGACUGAAGAGACGAAAGUUGACAACGAGGGAGCCGACGCGAUCCCUGCCAAUCCUAGUCCAAACUAUUCACAGGAUCAGAGGAGCAGCGAGCAACAUCAGCCUCACAGCCAGAGCCAGAGGGUUUCUUUCCAACUGAACGCGGUGGCUGCCGCGGCUGCAAAGCGUCCUUUAGUGACAAUUGAUCAGUUGAACAUGGGCUAA